rnacentral:rRNA from 1 species
AGAGUUUGAUUAUGGCUCAGAACGAACGCUGGCGGCAGGCUUAACACAUGCAAGUCGAACGCACCGCAAGGUGAGUGGCAGACGGGUGAGUAACGCGUGGGAACCUUCCCUUUGGUACGGAAUAACUUCGGGAAACCGAAGCUAAUACCGUAUAUCUCCUGCGGGAGAAAGAUUUAUCGCCAAAGGAUGGGCCCGCGUUGGAUUAGCUAGUUGGUAGGGUAAUGGCCUACCAAGGCGACGAUCCAUAGCUGGUCUGAGAGGAUGAUCAGCCACACUGGGACUGAGACACGGCCCAGACUCCUACGGGAGGCAGCAGUGGGGAAUAUUGGACAAUGGGCGCAAGCCUGAUCCAGCCAUGCCGCGUGAGUGAAGAAGGCCUUAGGGUUGUAAAGCUCUUUUGGCGGGGACGAUAAUGACGGUACCCGCAGAAUAAGCCCCGGCUAACUUCGUGCCAGCAGCCGCGGUAAUACGAAGGGGGCUAGCGUUGUUCGGAAUCACUGGGCGUAAAGCGUACGCAGGCGGAUUGAUAAGUCAGGGGUGAAAUCCCGGAGCUCAACUUCGGAAUUGCCUUUGAUACUGUCUAUCUUCGAGUUCGGGAGAGGUUGGCGGAAUUCCUAGUGUAGAGGUGAAAUUCGUAGAUAUUAGGAAGAACACCAGUGGCGAANNCGGCCAACUGGCCCGAUACUGACGCUCAUGUACGAAAGCGU